rnacentral:rRNA from 1 species
AGAUUGAACGCUGGCGGCAUGCCUUACACAUGCAAGUCGAACGGCAGCACGGGAGCAAUCCUGGUGGCGAGUGGCGAACGGGUGAGUAAUACAUCGGAACGUGCCCAAUCGUGGGGGAUAACGCAGCGAAAGCUGUGCUAAUACCGCAUAAGAUCUACGGAUGAAAGCAGGGGAUCGCAAGACCUUGCGCGAAUGGAGCGGCCGAUGGCAGAUUAGGUAGUUGGUGAGG